AGAUUGAACGCUGGCGGCAUGCCUAACACAUGCAAGUCGAGCGGCAGCGCGGGGGCGACCCUGGCGGCGAGCGGCGGACGGGUGAGUAAGGCAUCGGGAUCUGCCCUGAUGUGGGGGAUAACGUAGGGAAACUUACGCUAAUACCGCAUACGACCGAGAGGUGAAAGCGGGGGACCGAAAGACCUCGCGCCGGUGGAUGAGCCGAAGUCGGAUUAGCUAGUUGGUAGGGUAACGGCCUACCAAGGCGACGACGGGUAGCUGGUCUGAGAGGACGAUCAGCCACACUGGGACUGAGACACGGCCCAGACUCCUACGGGCGGCAGC
rnacentral:rRNA from 1 species